rnacentral:snRNA from 1 species
GUGCUCACUUCAGCAGCACAUAUACCGAAACUGGAACGAUAUAGAGAUUAGCAUGGCCCCUGCACAAGGAUGACAUGCCAAUUUGUGAAGUUGUCCAUAUGAAA